UACGGAGGGUCCAAGCGUUAUCCGGAAUCAUUGGGUUUAAAGGGUCCGUAGGCGGUUUUGUAAGUCAGUGGUGAAAGCCCAUCGCUCAACGGUGGAACGGCCAUUGAUACUGCAAGACUUGAAUUAUUGUGAAGUAACUAGAAUAUGUAGUGUAGCGGUGAAAUGCUUAGAGAUUACAUGGAAUACCAAUUGCGAAGGCAGGUUACUAACAAUAUAUUGACGCUGACGGACGAAAGCGUGGGUAGCGAACAGG
rnacentral:rRNA from 1 species